rnacentral:rRNA from 1 species
GAUCCUGGCUCAGGACGAACGCUGGCGGCGCGCCUAACACAUGCAAGUCGAACGAGCGAGAGAGAGUUUACUUUUUCGAGCGAGUGGCGAACGGGUGAGUAACGCGUGGGGAACCUGCCUCAAAGAGGGGGACAACAGUUGGAAACGACUGCUAAUACCGCAUAAGCCCACGACCCGGCAUCGGGUAGAGGGAAAAGGAGCAAUCCGCUUUGAGAUGGCCUCGCGUCCGAUUAGCUAGUUGGUGAGGUAACGGCCC